rnacentral:rRNA from 1 species
UACGUAGGGUGCAAGCGUUAAUCGGAAUUACUGGGCGUAAAGCGUGCGCAGGCGGUUCUUUAAGACAAAUGUGAAAUCCCCGGGCUCAACCUGGGAACUGCAUUUGUGACUGUAGAGCUGGAGUACGGUAGAGGGGGAUGGAAUUCCGCGUGUAGCAGUGAAAUGCGUAGAUAUGCGGAGGAACACCGAUGGCGAAGGCAAUCCCCUGGACCUGUACUGACGCUCAUGCACGAAAGCGUGGGGAGCAAACAGG